rnacentral:rRNA from 1 species
AGCAGCCGCGGUAAUUCCAGCUCCAAUAGCGUAUAUUAAAGUCGUUGCAGUUAAAAAGCUCGUAGUUGAAUUUCAGGCCUGGCUGGACGGUCCGCCCUUCGGGUGAGUACUGUCUGUGGUCGGGUCCUACCUUCUGGCGAAGCGUCAUGGCCUUAACCGGCCGUGGCGGGGAACCAGGACUUUUACUGUGAAAAAAUUAGAGUGUUCAAAGCAGGCAAUCGCUUGGAUACAUUAGCAUGGAAUAAUGGAAUAGGACAAUGGUUCUAUUUGUUGGUUUCUAGGACCGUUGUAAUGAUUAAUAGGGAUAGUUGGGGGCAUUAGUAUUCAAUUGUCAGAGGUGAAAUUCUUGGAUUUAUUGAAGACUAACUACUGCGAAAGCAUUUGCCAAGGAUGUUUUCAUUAAUCAAGAACGAAAGUUAGGGGAUCGAAGACGAUCAGAUACCGUCGUAGUCUUAACCAUAAACUAUGCCGACUAGGAAUCGGGCGAUGUUGAAAAAAUGACGC